GUACACACCGCCCGUCACACCAUGGGAGUCGGUUGCACCAGAAGUAGGUAGUCUAACCUUCGGGAGGGCGCUUACCACGGUAUGAUUCAUGACUGGGGUGAAGUCGUAACAAGGUAGCCGUAGGUGAACCUGCAGAAGGAUCA
rnacentral:rRNA from 1 species